rnacentral:rRNA from 1 species
UACGUAGGGUGCGAGCGUUAAUCGGAAUUACUGGGCGUAAAGCGUGCGCAGGCGGUUUGCUAAGACCGAUGUGAAAUCCCCGGGCUUAACCUGGGAACUGCAUUGGUGACUGGCAAGCUGGAGUGUGGCAGAGGGGGGUGGAAUUCCGCGUGUAGCAGUGAAAUGCGUAGAGAUGCGGAGGAACACCGAUGGCGAAGGCAGCCCCCUGGGCUAACACUGACGCUCAGGCACGAAAGCCAGGGGAGCAAACGGG